rnacentral:lncRNA from 1 species
GUUUUCUCUAUAAAUACAGACCUUGUAUUCAUUUUUUUGGUUUGAUUGGAUUGUAGUCUCCAAUCCCUCCUUCCAUGGAGGUUUCUUCCUCCUAUAUGGAGUGUCUUUCCUCCUUUGUGGAGUGUCUUUCUCUUCCUCUUAUUAUGGAAUGUUAUCAUCCUCCUAUUUUGGAGUUGUUUGUUCCUCCUAUCAUGGAGUGUAAUUCCUCCUUUAAUGGAGUGUUUUGUUCUUCUCCUUAUGGAGUUUACUACAUUGUUUUUCAUUCAAUAAAUCUAACAUGGUAUCAGAGCAUAUGCUUCCUGCUGCUGCAAUUUUCUGGAGUUAAUUGAUCUCCACUUUUUAUGUUCUGCUGAAAUAAAAGCAAAUUCAUGGUUUCAUUAUGAUUUCUAUUGUGGCGUAAUUUCGGAAGGAUCUAGAUCAGCUUCAGCCGAUUUCUCCAUCAGUAAGUUGACGUCUAGCUCAUAGAAAGCAGAUCUGUGAUUUCCUGUGUUCUGCUCAUUUUUCAUUUUCUCCUUUUAUGGUACUUGUGUUCUAAAAUCCAACAAAAGAGAUGCACGUGGAUCAUAUUUUUGAAGAUAAAUUUGGCUUCAGUUUGUUAUUCAAUAAAUGCGCAUUGAAGAUGAGGGAUUUUUAUCAUCAAGCGCCACAGAAGGACAACACUCAAUCUAAUCGGCGAUCAAAAUCCGCUUUCGAUUGCACUAAGAAUCCUCAUAAAGUGAGUAAAAAGAGUUUGAAUUCAGUGUCUAAGUUGGCAUCUGAAAAUGAAUCUUCACUUUUUGAAUCACCGGAGAAAUCGAUUGAUUUCUCGAUCUCUGAGAAUUCCAUUGCUUCAUCAAGUCGAAUUAAUACAAUGCAAUUGUGCAAAACACAUUCUGUACAUUCUUCAUCUCGGUUGAGGAAAACUCGAUGCUCUUGCUCAUAUCGGUUGGAAGAUUCAGCUGGUGUGCACACAAGGUGCUUGAUAAAAUGUCCAACAAAGCCACUCUUCUGCAAAUACGUAAUGAGAGUCAUGAGUAUUGUGUCUCACUUCCUUCAAUUCAAGAUCUGCAUUCUCCUCAGAGUCUCAUAUGUGCAGUGGAGGUGGAGAUUCCAUAUCAUCUGAGAUACUACCACUUUUUUAGAUCUGAGAUCUCACCAACUGAAAAAGAUGGCGUUGGAGAGCUGGAAGAACAUAUGCUGGAUUUUUUUUCCAGAUAAUCUUCCAGCAACAGAAAUCGCUAACUCUCGAACUUCAAAAUCCUCAUCAUUCAAGGCAGCAAAAAUAGCAGUCAAACUAUCAGCUUGUACCAGAAAAUCAUCAAAUCCUCCAUUCUCAUGCAAAGAGGAAAAUAUGGAUUUUCGAAUAGUAACAUCAACAUCAGCCACAGCUACAACAAGAAGCUUUUCCACUAUCUCCUUAAUCUUCAAGAUGGAUCUACCAAGUCCAUCUUGAGGGGGGUGUGUUGGAAUAUAUAUUCCACAUCAGCAAAAUAAUAUUACAUAUUCCAGAAUAUUCCUUCCAGUUUCAGCUUCUCAACUGCCUCCUGUUUUCUCUAUAAAUACAGACCUUGUAUUCAUUUUUUUGGUUUGAUUGGAUUGUAGUCUCCAAUCCCUCCUUCCGUGGAGGUUUCUUCCUCCUAUAUGGAGUGUCUUUCCUCCUUUGUGGAGUGUCUUUCUCUUCCUCCUAUUAUGGAAUGUUAUCAACCUCCUAUUUUGGAGUUGUUUGUUCCUCCUAUCAUGGAGUGUAAUUCUUCCUUUAAUGGAGUGUUUUGUUCUUCUCCUUAUGGAGUUUACUACAUUAUUUUUCAUUCAAUAAAUCUAACAAGCACAGUGCUGACCUAGUCUAUGUGACGUCAAUGUAGCCUUCGCUCGCAGCAUCGAAG